rnacentral:rRNA from 1 species
GAUGAACGCUGGCGGCGUGCCUAAUACAUGCAAGUCGAGCGAACAGACGAGGAGCUUGCUCCUCUGACGUUAGCGGCGGACGGAUGAGUGACACGUGGAUAACCUUCCUAUAAGACUGGGAUAACUUCGGGAAACCGGAGCUAAUACCGGAUAAUAUAUUGAACCGCAUGGUUCAAUAGUGAAAGACGGUUUUGCUGUCACUUAUAGAUGGAUCCGCGCCGCAUUAGCUAGUUGGUAAGGUAACGGCUUACCAAGGCGACGAUGCGUAGCCGACCUGAGAGGGUGAUCGGCCACACUGGAACUGAGACACGGUCCAGACUCCUACGGGAGGCAGCAGUAGGGAAUCUUCCGCAAUGGGCGAAAGCCUGACGGAGCAACGCCGCGUGAGUGAUGAAGGUCUUCGGAUCGUAAAACUCUGUUAUUAGGGAAGAACAAAUGUGUAAGUAACUAUGCACGUCUUGACGGUACCUAAUCAGAAAGCCACGGCUAACUACGUG